GAUGAAGAACGCAGCAAAAUGCGAUACUUGGUGUGAAUUGCAGAAUCCCGUGAACCAUCGAGUUUUUGAACGCAAGUUGCGCCCGAAGCCUUUUGGCCGAGGGCACGUCUGCCUGGGCGUCACGCAUCGCGUCGCCCCCCACAAUUCUCCGUAAAGGGAACAUGUGUUUUGGGGGCGGAUAUUGGUCUCCCGUGCUCAUGGCGUGGUUGGCCGAAAUAGGAGUCCUUUCGAUGGACGCACGAACUAGUGGUGGUCGUAAAAACCCUCGUCUUUUGUUUCGUGCUGUUGCUCGCAAGGUUAACUCUUUAAAAACCCCAAUGUGUCGUCUCUUGACGACGCUUCGACCGCGACCCCAGGUCAGGCGGGACUACCCGCUGAGUUUAAGCAUAUCAAUAAGCGGAGGA
rnacentral:misc_RNA from 1 species